GCUCCUGCAGAAGUGACAGAGGGACAAUCAGCCGUUCUGACCUGUAAAACCACCUGCAGUCUGACUGAUCCAACAUUCAUCUGGUACAAAACCAGCCGUGAUUUAACCACAAACACCAUCAAGAGCAAUAAAGUCCACCUGCAGUCGGUCAGCAGUGAGGAUGCAGGCAGUUAUAGCUGUGCUGUAAGAGGAUAUGAACAUCUCCCCUCUCCUGCUCACACACUCAGUGUCAGAUGUGAGAUCUAUUUACCUUCUUCUUAUGUACUGUAAUUGAAUAACUAAAUUGACCAAAAAAAAAUUUUGCUUUGACAAGAAAUUACAAUUAAGUCCUGGUGUAUUUUUUUUAAAUAAAAAAGCAGAAAAAGAAAUUGUCUUCAAAUUUGAACUGCCUUUAUUUUAUGUAGGACAUUUUUUUUUUUUAUCAUAUUAGCAGGUUACAUGCUGUGAUGCACUGAGAUGCAUUGUCUGUUCUGAGACCUUUGUAUUGGAACCAGCAGUAACCUUUAUUCAUAGUUUGAGCUACAGUAGCUGUUCUAUUAGAUCAGACUACACUGUUAAAAAUUUCUGUUAAUUCAUGGCAAAAUUUUAAUAGUAUAAUCCUGUUAUGCUCAAAAGCAGUGCAUUGCUGUUUUUUAACGGUUAUGCAAUUAUGUAGACAAAAUUUAACAGGAUUUUAGCGUAUUUAUUGCACGAAGGCAAAAAAACAUUACUUAACAGUAUUUCGGGAACAGGAAACUGCAAAGCACACAUGGAUUUUCAUCCAUCUUUAUUCUGAGACUUAACCGUUCUAAAUACGUCAACGUGCCAACUGCUUCAUAGAGUGGAGUUGGAUUUCCCAUUCAAAUAUUCCCCGAUUAUAAGGUGAAAAACCAGGAAGCUACAUUAAUAAAUGGAUGAUCAGUUUUGAGGGGCAAGUAAUUUGUGAGAGCAUCCAGCCAAGUUUUCUGUCUGGUCUUGCAGCUGUGUUAUCAAUUUUCUACAAUUUCAAUGUAGAGUACCAAGUGGAAGCUGCAUGCACAUUGGAAUUCAUUCAGAGGUACUUCAUUGGUAUAAACCCUGAAAAAGGCACCAAGGGUGGAAAUGUCCUAUCAAAGAGGACAGGGAAGGUCACCCGCAAGAAAAAAGCACUCGGGUUGCCAGUCUACUUAAGAAGCUAAUGGACAUCAUAUAAGUGAACCCACUCAUUCACUGAUAUAGCACACACACACACACCUUACACAUACUCUCGCACAAUUUUUUUCAGGUGUUCAUUCUUGAAUACCUACAUUUUGACUUCAUUCUACAUUGAAUUUUUUCUUUCAGUCAUUUUUAUUCACUCAGUUCUCUGAGUCAUUUAGUUUGUUCGUUAUAUGAAUGUUGUGUUUAUUCAGUUAAAAGUUAAUUCUGAAGCUUAAGUUUGUUUAUUCCUUCCACUUGCUUUGCUACAGCCACUAAUUUUAGUAAUAUCUUGUGAUUAAAAGUGGCUUUUGUUUUUUAAAGGUAUAGUAAAGCAAGUUUUGAAGUUACACUGCAUUUUUAAUGAUUGUGCAUUGUACUAAAACAUGUAUUUUUAAAAACAGCAACAAACUGUAAAUUUCAACAACAGCAAGACACUGUUAAUUUAACAGUAACUUGCUGGCAACCGUGCUGUAAGUUACUUACUGUUUUUUAACGGGACAAUUUUUAAGAGUGUACAUGGGUCAGCCCUCACUCCCCAUGUGCAUCAGUGAGCCUCGCGCCCAUGACUCUGAUGUUGGUUCACCAGUGUUCUUUUCUAGGAGCACUUUUGCUAUGUUCUGACCACCAGGGAAAUCCCACAAGAGCUACUGUAUGGUUUUGGAAUUGCUUACAGUCAUCUAGACAUCCCAAUGUGGUCUUAGUCACAGUAGCUACAGUUAUAAUAUCUUAUUUCAAUGGCACCUGCAAGUUCAAUUCAAUUCAAUUCAAUUUUAUUUGUAUAGCGCUUUUAGCAAUUUUUAUUGCCGCAAAGCAGCUUUACACAAUCAAAAGAACUAUUUAAGUUUGUAUGAAAUGUGAAUUUGUAUGAAUCAAAAUGGUCAGUUUGUCCCUGGUGAGCAAGCCGAGGACGACAGUGGCAAGGAAAAACCAUGUGAUGAGAUCUUCAGCCAGAAGCGGGGCACCAGGAUGGGUCAGACAGGUCCGGAGGGCAGAGGGAGUCUCGAUCACUGGCAGCUCGGGAACGACAUGUGUAGCUCGACAGAGAGAGAGAGAAAGAGUGAAAGGGGGAGACAGGAGGAGAGAGGAAAGAGAAAGAGGGGGGGGAAGAGAAGAAGAGGAGAGAUGGCAGUUAGGUAUGGUCACAGUCACACAAUGUAUAAUGUGAAUGUAUAUUAACUGUAGAGUGCAAGCAGAAACUCCAACAGGACUAACUAUGACAUCAUAACUAAAAGGGAGAGCCAGAAGGAAACACAAACAUGAGGGCUUCCUGAGAUGUAAAGCAAACAAUCACCUCACCGUCAGCAAACCUGAGUGAUCAAUGAGAGUGAGGAAGACAGCAUCCAAACAUACCAGUUCACCAUAAUACUCUACGUCCAUGAGUCCCCCAGAUCUGCUCCUUUACCUAAGGCAAAUCUAUUUAUAAAAAUGCUUGGCUAAAUAAAUAGGUUUUUAGCCUGGACUUAAACAAUGAGACUGUGUCUGAGUCCCGAAUACUAUUUAGAAGACUAUUCCAUAAUUAAGUGGCUGGGCUAAAUUAGACAGACAAUUUUUAAAAGAGUCAGAGCCUGCCAAAAGUGCUUCAAGAAA